rnacentral:rRNA from 1 species
GCCGCGUGGAUGAUGAAGGCUUCGGGUCGUAAAAUCCUGUCAGAUGGAAAGAAGUGCGAGAUGGUUAAUACCCAUUUCGUUUGACGGUACCAUCAGAGGAAGCACCGGCUAACUCCGUGCCAGCAGCCGCGGUAAUACGGAGGGUGCAAGCGUUGUUCGGAUUUACUGGGCGUAAAGCGCGCGUAGGCGGUUUGUUAAGUCAGAUGUGAAAGCCCAGGGCUCAACCCUGGACGUGCAUUUGAAACUGGCAGACUUGAGUAUUGGAGGGGGUGG